AAUUUUAAUUUUCUUUCAUUUCUCUUUGUUCUCCGUACGAAGAAAACAAAGUAGUCACAGAUUCAAUCUGCUUGGCUUCCUCAAAUUCUCAGAUUUGAUCUCUAGCCACUGUCGAUUGAAGCUUCACCACCACACUCUUUUUGAAACCGUCGCUCAUCACCACCAUCUCCAUCCCUCUCAUCCGCCAUCUCUCUCUCUCUCUCUGAUUUUGUUUUGAUUUUACAGGAAGGUGGGUCGUGAGCAACUAGAGAUUUCCGCCUCGCCGCUGCUAGGAUGCUAUAGUCACUGCCAACACCUCACUCUCAUUCUCUCCCUUCUCCGGUGGUGGCGUCAAUUCGAGCUCGACGAUUGUUCUCAAGAAAGAAGAUGAAUUCGCGUUACCAUACUCACUCCUCCUUCCUCAAGCUUCCUCAUUUCUUCAGGCCAAAGUGGGUGAGUUGAUUUGGGAUAGCCUUGCAAAUAAGUCAUUGAAUAGCUCCCUGCAUCACUCUGCAAAGAUGGAUUGCUGAAAGAUUGCAAGAGUCUGCAAAAUCUUUCUCUGCAUAACAAUCCAUUUCAAUGGAUGAGUUUCAGCUGAUGGAAGGGCUGGACCUUGAAGACUGUCCUG